rnacentral:rRNA from 1 species
GUGUCAGCCGCCGCGGUAAUACGGAGGGUGCAAGCGUUAUCCGGAUUCACUGGGUUUAAAGGGUGCGUAGGUGGGUAUGUAAGUCAGUGGUGAAAUCCCCGAGCUUAACUUGGGAACUGCCGUUGAUACUAUAUAUCUUGAAUGUCGUAGAGGUAAGCGGAAUAUGUCAUGUAGCGGUGAAAUGCUUAGAGAUGACAUAGAACACCAAUUGCGAAGGCAGCUUACUAUGCGAAUAUUGACACUGAGGCACGAAAGCGUGGGUAGCAAACAGGAUUAGAAACCCCCGUAGUCC